rnacentral:misc_RNA from 1 species
AACGCACGAGACCUGCGGACCUGCGGAGGGAUCAUUAGUGAACGCCCUCACGGGCUUAUAACUAUUCCAAACCUCUGUGAACCGUGCCCUUCGGGGCUAUUUUACAAACAUGGUGUAAUGAACGUCAUAUAUCAUAACAAAACGAAACUUUUAACAACGGAUCUCU